rnacentral:rRNA from 1 species
ACUGGGCGUAAAGAGUUGCGUAGGUGGUUAGUAAAGUGAAUAGUGAAAUCUGGCGGCUCAACCGUACAGGCUAUUAUUCAAACUCACUAACUCGAGAAUGGUAGAGGUAACUGGAAUUUCUUGUGUAGGAGUGAAAUCCGUAGAUAUAAGAAGGAACACCAAUGGCGUACGCAGGUUACUGGACCAUUUCUGACACUGAGGCACGAAAGCGUGGGGAGCGAACCGGAUUAGAUACCCGGGUAGUCCACGCCGUAAACGAUGGAUACUAGCUGUUGGAGGUAUCGACCCCUUCAGUAGCGAAGCUAACGCGUUAAGUAUCCCGCCUGUGGAGUACGGUCGCAAGACUAAAACAUAAAGGAAUUGACGGGGACCCGCACAAGCGGUGGAUCGUGUUCUUUAAUUCGAUGAUAAACGAAGAACCUUACCAGGGUUUGACAUCCUUGGAAUUACUGUGAAAGCAGUGAGUGCUUUAUUGAGCCAAGUGACAGGUGUUGCAUGGCCGUCGUCAGCUCGUGUCGUGAGAUGUUUGGUUAAGUCCAUUAACGAGCGCAACCCUUGUGAAUAGUUGUAUUUUUCUAUUCAGACUGCCCCGGUAACGGGGGAGGGAAGGAGGGGAUGAUG